CAUCUAUAUUUAUUAGUUGGCAUUUAACUGUGAGAACCUCGCCUUCUUCCCCUUUAUGUAUGUAUGUGUGUAUAUAUAUAUGCGCAUUUGUUUAUUCACUCCUUCAUUUGUAUUCAAUAGGCUAUAUUCCAUUACUAUCAUUAUUUAUUUUGAUGUUCAAAUCAUCCCACAUUUAAUCAAUGGGACUCCCUUCAGCUGGCUUCUGUGUUUUUCUGGUCCAUCAUAAUUUUACCGUGUCCUUACCUGCUAGCAGACAAUAUACUGUAGGCUCAUCUUGCACUUACUCUGCCCUACCUCUAGAAUCAGCCUUUUUUGCCAGGUUCCUUAGUUCAUUUUAAUGGAGAAGUAUAUUUAGAAACCAAGGUUUAAGUGUACUAUGUCCUGAUUGCUUUUGAAAUAUCAUGAAAACAUACUCUGCAAGAUUUUAAUCUUCUGAAAUUUAUUAAGAUGUCAUCUUUAGGUAAUAAUAGAGCAACUGGGACUAUGCUUGCCCUCCCUUCAUAAAUAACUAGAAAAAUGAAAAAAAAAAAAAACAAUUAUUUUUCGAUACUGGACAACAACCAAUAAGGACUCCAAUCCCUGAGAGAGGUAAAAUCCAUGAGAUGAUACCUUAAUCAUUUCAGCUUCUUCUUUGAAGAUCCUUGCCAUACCUUGGUAUAGAAAGAGAAAUUACAAGCAAAGCCCAGCAGUUUUGAUAAGUAAAGAAGACAGAAAAGCCAGGCAUGGUGGCUCACACCUGUAAUCCCAAGCACUUUGGGAGGCCAAGGUGGGCUGAUCACCUGAGGUUGGGAGUUCAAGACCACCUUGAACAACAUGGAGAAACCUCGUCUCUACUAAAAAUACAAAAUUAGCCAGGGGUGGUGGGGCAUGCCUGUAAUCCCAGCUACUAGGGAAGCUGAGGCAGGAGAAUCUCUUGAACCUGGGAGGCAGAGGUUGCUGUGAGCCGAGAUCGCACCAUUGCGCUCCAGCCUGGGCAACAAGAGAGAAACUCCAUCUCAAACAAAAAAAAAAAAAAAAGAGAGAGAGAGAAAGAGAAAGAAAGAAGGAAGGAAGGAAGGAAAGAAAGACAGACAGACAGACAGAAAGGAAGAAAGAAAGAAAGAAAAAGAAAGAAAGAAAGAGAGAGAGAGAGAGAAAGAAAGAAAGAAAGAAAGAAAGAAAGAAAGAAAGAAAGAAAGAAAGAAAGAAAAGAAAAGAAAAAGAAGAAAAAAUAUAUAGAUGAAAAUUCAGGGAAACCAAUGUGGCUAGAAUUGUUUGUCAAAGUUAUAGAGAAAAUGGCUACAGAAAUCUGUGUGGUGGUCUCCUUGAGAAUGUUACAAACUCAAGAAGGUCAACAAAUUUCAGGCAUGAUACAAAUAAAACUAUACCAGAAAACUUCAUAAUCAAUUUUCCUAAAACAGGUGAGGAAUCAAAAAAUUUGAAAUUAGCCAGAGGAACAAAAAGGGACUGCCUGCAGAAUAAUGAAGAUAAGAAAAUGACAGGCUUCUUAUCAAAAAGUACAUAAGCCAGAAGACAACAGAAAAACACUGUAAAAUCAUGAAAAGAAAAAAAAAACCUGUCAUCUUAGAAUUUUAGAUCUAUCAAUAAUGUCCUUCAAAAAUAAAGGCAAAAUAAAAUAAGUUUUCAGGAACAAAAGUAGAAACAAUAUCUCAUAUUCUUACCUGUACUAUCAUGGUAAAGAAAGUUUGUGGAGUCAAGUGAAAAUGAUACCAGAUGAAAACUUUCAUCUACAUAAAUGACUGAAGAGCUCCAAUAUAUAUAUAUAUUAUUUUGUAUUUUUAAGUUAAAAUAUAUUUUUAAUUAGUUAUUUAAGUCAAAAAUAAUUCUAAUGAGUUUGGCAUUUAUAUUAUUGGUAGAAAUAUGAUAUAUGACACCAAUAGCACAAAUGAUAGAAAAGGAGAAAUGGAAAUAUAUCAUUGAAAGAUCUUUACAUAGUAGUUAUAUUACUGAAAAGUAGAAUACGUAGAAUAUUAUUUGGAGGUAGUAUAAUAAUGUAGAGAUGCAUAUUAUAAAUCCUAUAGAAACCUUAAAAGCCAUCUUAAAAGUAUGGAUAAAAAUCCAAUGGUGAGGUAAUACUAGGAAAGAUGGCAGAUAGGAGACAGGGCUGAUGUUCAGCUCCCACCUGGAUGGACUGAACAGCAUGUGGAGACUCACACUGUAGACUGUGGCUCCAGGAACCACCACAGAAACACACCAGAAAAAUCCAAAAGAAUUAACAGAUCUUUGAAAGAAGCAGCAGGCCACUGCAAAUUCCACAAGACAGGUGAAAAACUCUGCUGCUGUCUUGAAAGCACCACCUCCUGGCUGGAGGCCAACCAACUCAGGACAUUUCAGCAACUCAUGACACAGUAACUGUGCUUCAAGGAAGGAGAAAACAAGAGCUAAGCUAAUUCCACAUUCUGGCUAACCAUUGGUCCUGAGUCUGUCCACGUGACAACUUCACUGCUAGCAUAACGAGCGUUUGAGAAAGCCAGCACACUAAACAUAUAUACAACCAAGGACUCCCCACACAGUCUACUUCACUCCCCUGACAUCUCCACCAGAGCAGGUGCUGGUAUCCAUGGCUGGGGGACCUGAAGACAAAUUGCAUCACAGGACUCUUGGCAGACAUUUCCCAGUACUAACCCAGAGCCUGGUAGCCUGGCUGGGUGGCUAGACCACAAGGACAGUAACAAUCCCUGCAUUCUGGCUCACAGGAAGCCCCAUCCCUAGGUGAAGGGGGAGUGCACCACAUCAAGGAACCACCCCAUGGGACAAAAGAAUCUGAACAGCAGCCCUUGAGUUCCAGAUAUUUUCACUGAAAUAGUCUACCCAAAUGAGAAGGAAUCAGAAAAGUAAUUCUGAUGAUAUGACAAAACAAAGUUCUAUAACACCCUGAAAAGACUACACUAGCUCCCUAGCAAUGGAUCCAAACCAAGAAGAAAUCUCUGAUUGUCAGAUAAAGAAUUCAGAAGGUUGAUUAUUAAGCUACUCAAGUAUAUACUAGAGAAAGGUGAAACCAAUGUAAAGAAAUUUAAAAAAUAUAUAUGAUAUGGAUGAAAAAUGCUUCAGGGAAAUAGAUAUCAAACUAAAAAACAAUCACAACUUCUGGAAAUAAAACACACACUUAAAGAAAGAAAAAUGCGCUGGAAAGUUCAACAAUAGGAUUGAACAAAUAGAAGAAAGAACUUCAGAGCUAAAGACAAGGAUUUCAAAGGCUUUCAAAUGAAAGACAAGCCUUUCACAUUAACCCAAUCAGACACAUACAAAGAAAAAAGAAUUUAAAAAUAUGAACAAAGCCUCCAAAAAAUGUGAGGUUAUGUUAAAUAGCCAAAUGUAAGAAUAAUUGAUAUACCUGAGGAAGAAGAGAAAUCUAAGAAUUUGAAAAACAUAUUUGAGAGAAUAAUCAAGGAAAACUUCCUUGGUCUUGCUAGAUAUCUAGACAUCCAAAUACAAGAAGCUAACAGACACCCAGGAAAUUCAUGGCAAAAAAAAAAAAAAAAUCACCUAGGCACAUAGUUACCAGGUUAUCUAAAGUCAAGAUGAAGAAAAGAAUCUUAAGAGCCAUGAGACAAAAGCAGCAGGUAACUUGUAAAAGAAAACCUAUCAGAUUAACAGCAGAUUUCUCAGCAGAAACCCUACAGGCUAGAAGGGAUUGGGGUUCUAUCUUUAGCCUCUUCAAACAAAAUAAUUUGCAGUCAAGAAUUUUGUAUCCAGCAAAAUUAAGCUAUUAAGCUUCAUAAAUGAAGGAGAGAUAAAGUCUUUUUCAGACAAACACAUGCUGAGAGAAUUCACUACUACUAAGCCAGCACUACAAGAAAUGCUAAAAAGAGAUCUAAAUCUUGAAACAAACCCUCAAAACACACCAAAUUAGGGCUGCCUUAAAGUAUAAAUCUCACACAUCUGUAAAACAAUAACAUAAGGACAAAAUAACAAGGUAUUCAGGCAACAACUAGCACAAUGAAUAAAACGGUACCUCAAGUAGCAACACUAACAUUGAAUGUAAAUGGCCUAAAUGCUCCAUUUAAAAGAUACAGAAAUGCAGAAUAGAUAAAAAUCCACCAACCAAGUGUCUGCUGUGUUCAAGAGGCUCACUUAACACAUAAGGACUCACAUAAACUCAAGGCAAAAGAAGUGGAAAAAAAUAUUCCAUGAAAAUGGACACCAAAAGUGAGCAGAAGUAGCUAUUCUUAUAUCAGACAAAACAGACUUUAAACCCACAAUGGUUGAAAAAGACAAAAAUGGACUUAUAUAGUGAUUAAAGGACUAGUUCAAAAGGGAAAAAUAUCACGAUUCUAAAUAUAUAUGCACCUAACACUGGAGCUCCUGAAUUUAUAAAGCAAUUAUUACUAGACCUAAGAUAUCAGAUAGACACCAACACAAUAAUAGUGGGGGACUUCAAUACUCUACUGACAGCACUAGACAGGCCAUGAAGACAGAAAGUCAACAAAGAAACAAUGGACUUAAACUAUACCCUAGAACAAAUGACCUUAACAGGUAUUUACAGAACAUUUUACCCAACAACUGCAGAAUAUACAUUCUACUCAUCAGCAUAUGGAACAUUCUCCAAGACAGACCAUAUGAUAGGUCACAAAACAAGUCUCAAUAAAUUUAAGAAAAUCAAAAUUAUAUCAAGUACCAUCUCAGACCACAUGGAAUAUAAAAUUGGAAAAUAACUUCAAAAAGCACCCUCAAAACUAUACAAAUACAUGGAAAUUAAAUAAUCUGCUCCUGAAUGAUCUUUGGGUCAACAAUAAAAUCAAGAUGGAAAUUUAAAAAGUAUUUGAACUGAAUGAUAGAGAUACAACUUAUCAAAACCUCUGUGACACACCAAAAGUGCCGCUAAGAGGAAAGUGCAUAGCCUUAAACGCCUACAUCAAAAAAGACUGAAAGACUACAAAUAGACAAUCUAAGGUCACACCUCAAGGAACUAGAAAACAAGAAUAAACCAAACCUAAAGCCAGUACAAAAAAAAAAAAAAAAAAAACAAAGACCAGAACAGAACUAAAUGAAAUUAAAACAAACAAACAAACAAAAGAUAAAAAGCUGGCUGGUUCUUUGACAAAAUAACCAAAAUUGAUAAACCAUUAAGAAGAUUAACCAAGAAAAGAAGAAGAUGCAAAUAAGAUCAAUUAGAAAUGAAAUGGGAGAUAUUACAACCAAAACCACAGAAAUACAAAAGAUGAUUUAAGGCUACUAUGAACACUUUUACACACACAAACUAGAAAAUCUAGAGGAGAGGGAUAAAUUCUUUGAAAUAUACAACUCUCGUAGACUAAAUAAGAAAGAAAUAGAAACUCUAAGCAGACCAAUAAUAAGUAGCAAGAUUGAAACGGUAAUUUAAAAAUUGCUGGGCUGGGUGCAGUGGCUCACGCCUGUAAUCCCAGCACUUUGGGAGGCCCAGGCAGGUGGAUCACGAGGACAGAAGAUCAAGACCAUCCUGGCUAACAU
rnacentral:lncRNA from 1 species